CAGCAUCCCUUUAAGAGCACAAAACUACGCUAGUAAAGAGUUUCUGACAAAAAAGCUGACUGCAAUGUGAAAUCCACUCUCUGAAAAAUCACCCUGAGGUCCACAAAAGCAGAUUUUGACUGCAAACCACAGAAAACCGGAUUCCACAAUAUCUUCUUUUCUUCCACCCACAUUUCAAUUUCAAGCUUCAGCUCACAGAAACAUUUUGCAGAAAAAAAAAAAAUCCAACUUUUCCCAGUGCUUUUUUCCAGUUGAUUGCUACUCCCUGGCACCAAUUAUAAGUAACUGCUUCACAGCUGAACCAAAGCAGCAUAGUCAGCAAAAUCACUGCCUCUCCAUCCUCAAGCAAUCAGACAGACUCAGUGCAAAGGAGCAAAGGUGAGAGAGACACCAGCCUAAUAGGCCAAGGAGGAAUACGCCCGCAGCUUCCACAGCCGCAGCCAGCCUGGUUCGUCAGAAUGUAAAUUCCUGAUAAACGUUUUCACUGCCAGUCUGAUGAAGAGCUCCAAACUCAGUCUACAGCACAAGCCACCGGGACCUGGAGCAGGCGGACUGCAGAGCCUGCCACGCUAAAGCCACCGGCAGAAACGUAAGCCUGUGAUGAACCCGCUGACCAGCCCAACUCCCCAUAUUUACAAAAGGAUGGAUGCACAAAGAUUUCUGAUAUGGUACCAAAAAAUAGCCAUUAUUCUACAUUUUCCUAUGCAAUGGAGAAUCGUGGCCUUAUGAAGAAAACAGUUAUUAAUAAAGGCAAGAGUUAUAAAAAUCUCUCUACAUAUCAAAGUCAUGAUAACGUCAGCUGCUAACGUUUUAUAAGUCACGGUCACUUACUGCACUGAGGCAAAACAGAAACCUCGUUUGGCAUCAACAAAGCAAGCACUCAGCUCCUCAGCCAACAGUGCCAAGAAAAAGCGGGUAUCCAGAAAGCGGAAUGAGUCUCUCAUGUUAACUACCAACAAAUAGUGUCUCCUACACCACUCACAUGCUGUUAGUACCGACGUUACAUCUCGUUUCCUCGGAAGGGAAAGCGGCAGUGCAGAAACCGGGAGAUCUGCCCAAGGGCGGUGACGGGGAGCAGGGCUUCGCCCCAGCCCACCCUGGCAGGUCACGCGGCGUCUUUCCGAGUCCGCACCGGGCAACACGGCACUCCUCUGACGGAGGAAAAGCAACAGCCCCACGGGCGCUGCAGAAUACAAACACGUACAGAGUGGGAACACCCUUCCAGAACCAAACCAUAAAGCUGGCAGACUUCUAGCUGCACUGUUUCUUGCUUUGUUGGGUUUUCUUGUUUUAAAUUUAACAACGUUAACUUGCUAUACAGUUGAAUAAAUGGGAUUCCAAAUUUAAUUUUUAGGAGGAUGUAUUUGCUGCUAAUUCACUGUCUGAAAAAACUAAAUUUUGAAAUAUAACAAUAAGCCACAGUUUUGUUUUGGUUUUUUUUAAUACUUUAAUUUAGGGGUGGGUUUUGUUCAUUUAAGAAAAAAAAAUCCAUUCUCUGCUAAAAGGUAAAGAGGCUAAGAAAAUAAUAUAUUCAGUUCACAGUAGAAUGAGUCACAGAUGCUAAAUCUCAAAUAUUCAGAUAUCUUUGCUACAGCUUAUGCACAUAUCAGUUUCAGAAGAAAAAGAGCAAGCUCAAAUAACAAGAAGAUUGAUCAGGCAACAAAGGAACCGAGAAAAUGAGACAAUAGCAAAAAAUUAAUUAAGUAAAUUUAUCUGAGUACAUCUCUUGUGUGCACAAAGCAGAACUAGACAAACUUCAUUAGUUCAUGAAUGUCCGGUUGUCUCCUCUGAGCAAUCAUCUUGCUGCUACGAUGCCAUCCCCUGCCCCCGCCCCAAUUUUUCUAUAUAAAUAUUCAGGUUAUAAAUUACCUAGAGCCAGGAGGAGCAUUUCAAUUUCUCCCAACUACAGAUCCCCGAGUUAUGAUUUGUAGACAUAAUGGGCAGCAAGGACUGGCACGCAAACCACUGCACCUUAGAAAUACUUGGCGAUACGGGACAGAUGUUGGAACUCUCUGCUCAAUUUCCUUUCGCUUUUGCUGGACACCCAGUGGGAUCCUGGAAUAUAAAGAGAGAAAAAGCAGAGGCAGAGGGUGUUCACACCUCCAACCAGUGCACCAGCCAUCUGCCAGCUUUAGUUCUCUCGGACCCUUCCUACGUUGUCCCUCACCAAGUACACUGCUUCCUACAGAGGCUGGACCAGGACACAGAGUCAGCCACCAUUUUCAUCCUGUCAGAGCCACCUACCUUCUUCCUGAAGAUCCAGACCUCUCCUCUUUCUCCCUUUCUUUAUCUCAAACUCCACGAGGCAAUCUGAUCCGAUUUUGGUUAUCUUCAAGUUCUGCCACAAUGGCCAAUAAACACAACCAUGAACAGCGCUGAAGGCUUAAAAGCCUAUUACUGGGGUACAUGAAACUGCAUCUUCCAUGGAUACAGGUGUUUAAUCAUACACACCAAAGAGCAAUUCCUUGGUAACCAUGAACUUGCCCUAUGUCUCCUUCCCAGCGCACAAACUCCGAGUGUCUCUACGUCCAACCAAAGGGCAGGAAUCAUUUGAUUUUUUGACUAAACCAGAACAGAUCAAACAUUCAGGGAUGAAGACCUCGCUUUUGUGCACACUCUCCAUUUUUCCAACCAUACUUACAGAAUUAUUUUUUCCUCACUGAAUAAAAAAUAAAACAAACAAACAAAAAGCAGAAAAACAUCCAACACCAACAGAAAAAUCUUCUUUUAAUCCUGACCAAAAAUUUGUCGUUACCUGAGACUUACUAAAUAAUCUUGGCUGGGAACUGGGGAGUGACCUAGAAGCCAACAUCUUUCUUUCAUCCAGUAACUCAUGCCUACAGCACUCAUCCAGCAGAGAAAAGUCCCCUCCUGUGUCUGAGAGCGAAUGAACGCACACAGGGUGAUGUUCUACACAGAGGACACUGUAGGACAUCAUACACAGAAAUGCACAUGGCUUCACCUUUUUCACUGACACUUCAUUUAUUCGUACACAGAAGGAAUUACUCAGCGGAGAAGGAACCCCGAUAUCCUGAGCCAGGUCCAAAAGGCAUUUUCUCUCCAUUGUCUUGGUACGCAAACAAAUAAAACGGAUCUCUCAGGAAGGAUUGAGAGACACCCACAACAGACUAUCGUACCAUUUAAACAAAGGUCUUCCACUUCUCAGGAAAGCCUCCAAACCAGAGAUGACCUACUUAGACACAUCCUUCUUUGUCUAAAACAUAUAGACAGGUGCAGACUUUCCUCUGACCUCCGUAUGGAGCUCAGUUCGGCUAAGUAUACACAUCCCACAUGAAACACAAGCACCAAUGAAAAUUAAAAAUCAGCCUACAGUCUU